UACGUAGGGUGCAAGCGUUGUUCGGAAUUACUGGGCGUAAAGGGUUCGUAGGCGGGAAUAUAAGUUGAAUGUGAAAACCCCGGGCUUAACCUGGGACGUGCAUCCAAAACUGCGUUUCUUGAGUGUCUGAGAGGGUCGUGGAAUUGCUGGUGUAGGAGUGACAUCCGUAGAGAUCAGCAGGAACACCGGAGGCGAAAGCGACGACCUGGCAGAACACUGACGCUGAGGAACGAAAGCGUGGGGAGCAAACAGG
rnacentral:rRNA from 1 species